AUCGUACUCCCUCCGUUCCGAAUUAGUUGUCUUGGAUUUGUCUAGAUACGGAUGUAUCUAGACUCAUUUUAGUGCUAGAUACCUCCGUAUCUAGACAAAUCUAAGACAAGUAAUUCAGAACGGAGGGAGUACCAG
rfam:Triticum aestivum genome assembly, contig: Triticum_aestivum_CS42_TGACv1_scaffold_500696_6BL